AACGCAAACGGCACCCUUCCAGUCCAUUCCAAAGCGGUGGCGGAGGAUGAAGACAAGGGUAUCUCUGGCUGAGGGUAAUGGGAACUGAUCCAGUGUAACCGUUGGUUAGCUGGGGAUUGGGCUUGCUCGGGGUAAUUGCUCUGGCUUGCCUUAAAAUCAAGCGUUGUGUGGAUUGGACUUUCAAGCAUGCAUUGGGGACGCAGGCUCUGCGCUAUGGCAAGCCCUUGACCGUCAUAGGUGCUUUGAUUGGGGUUUUCAGUCUAGCCAACAAGGCUGGGUUGAAGGACUUUGGGGCUGCAUUGGGGGCGCAAGGGCAGCUCUGUUCGUGGCGUCCGAUGACCGUCAUGAUGCAUGCGUGAUUGGACUUCAACCAGCAAUUAUCAUUAUCAUCAUCAUUACCAUGGGUUACCUCAGGUCAGAGAAGACUACCCGCUGGACUUAA
rnacentral:misc_RNA from 1 species